rnacentral:lncRNA from 1 species
AAAAUUUUAUAAUUUCUUUUACUUAGAUUUUUUUUAUUUUUUAUAAAAAAUAAUAUUUAAAAUAUAUUUUUUUAGUAAUUAAUAAUAUUUAAAAGUGUCCUAAAAUAAUUUACCAACGUAUUUGAUAGCAUUUGCUAAAGCGUUGAGAAAUGAAGAGCUGUCAUGUAUAUAAUAUACUGACACUUGUACCGUGCAUUGGUAAUAUGUAUAUAUAAGAGCUGUUAUAUUAUCGGAAAUAUAGAGGAUUUGAUGUUUUGGACUUUUUUGACCCUUGAAUCAAGAAUUCUACGAUUGGAAUGAUUGUGGUCCCCCCUAGGAUUGAGUGGUCUUUCCAGGGUAAUAAUAUCCCUAGCAUAAUAGCUCUACUCUAUAUAUAUAGGCUAGGUUGCUAUGCUUUCGAAAUUACGGAGACCUCCAUAUUUAUAAGUUGUUUUCAAUGAUGCAGCAUCUGAUUCGGCAAUCGGAUUCAUUAGACAUGAUCUACGCUAUUGGAGCUAUUUAAAAAUCAAAUUUCAUAAUUUUUUGACUUUAUUUGCCUAGUGAAUGAGUAUGUUCAAAAUAAACGGCUGAAAAUAAAAAUUUCACAAAAAAGUGAUAAAAGACUCAAAUUUCAAAAUAUUAUUCUUGUUCUUGAUGUUAAGUAGAAUUUUCUAUUAAAGUUUCAAAUAAUUUAGAUUCUUCUACACUGUUGAACUUUAAAACAUGCCACAUCGAUCAUUAAAAUAGCCAUUUUUUAGGCUCUUUGAUCACUUGAUAAAUAAUGUCAAAAAAUUAUGAAAUUUGGUUUCUAAAUAGCUCUAAUAGCGUAGAUCAUGCCUAACAGAGCCGAUCGCUGAAUCGGAUGCUCCAUCAUUAAAAACAACUUAUAAGCACGGAAGCCUCCGUACUUUUGAAAGUAUAGAAGACGUACUCAUAUAUAUAUAUAUAUAUAUAUAUAUAUAUAUAUAUAUAUAUAUAUAUAUAUAUAUAUAUAUAUAUAUAUAUAUGUAUAUU